CUUGGUCAUUUAGAGGAAGUAAAAGUCGUAACAAGGUUUCCGUAGGUGAACCUGCGGAAGGAUCAUUAUCGAAUUGUGAUGGGGGUGAUUGUGAGGGCUGUUUUUGACUCAAAGUGUGGUCGCCCGAGCAUGUCCUCUCGCAUAAUAAUCCAUCUCACCCUUUGUGCAUCGCCGCGUGGGCACCCUUUGGGAUCAUCUCGGAGGGGGCUCGCGUUUUCACUACACCCCCCUUUUUGAGGGAAGAAUGACCUCCUUUAUGGGCUUACCCAUAAUCCAUACAACUUUCACCGAUCUAUCUCUUGGCUCUCGCAUGAAUGACGAACGCAGCGAAAUGCGAUACGUAAUGUGAAUUGCUUAAUUCAGUGAAUCAUCGAAUCUUUGAACGCACCUUGUCCCCCUUGGUAUUCCGAGGGGCACACCCGUUUGAGUGUGAAGAAAACCUCAACCUCCUUGGUUUCUUCUGGAGACCAAUUCAGGCUUGGACUUUGGAGGCCUUUGCUGGCACCUCUCUCUUUUGAAGGUCAACUCCUCUUAAUUAAAUUAGCGCGGUCCUCUUUGUCCAUCCUCUGCUAGUGAUAAGAUGUUUCCGUGUCUUGGUUUCUGGCUCUGUCACUUUUGGGACCCGCUUCUAACCGUCUUGACCUUGAUUCUAGACUCUGUUCGAGCAUGCCUCCCUUCUGAGGAAGCUCCAUUGACCCCUACCCCCUUGACCUCAAAUCGGGUGAGACUACACGAUGAGCUUAAUUCAUAUCACUAAACGGACGAU
rnacentral:rRNA from 1 species